rnacentral:lncRNA from 1 species
GAAGCAGGAGAACGCUUGAACCUGGGAGGUGGAGAUUGCAGUGAGACAAGAUCACACCAUUGCACUCCAGCCUGGGCAACAAGAGCGAAACAUCGUCUCGAAAAAAAAAAAAACAAAAGAGAGAGAGAGAACCAGCUGUGAGGUGUGCUGUCAGUGGCCCAUUCCUGAGGGACCAAAGCCAUGACCUGCCCAGGUUGCCCUAGCCAAUGACUGAGCUCAGCACGGUAAAAGGCCAGUCAUUUCUCCUCUCUGGGCAAUCUUUGCUGCUGAACUUUCUACUUAUUCCUCUUUCUUUCCCCUUUCUUUUCACAGGAGUCAAACCUCUAUUGUAAACUGAAGGCCUUCUCUAUUCACUCCCCUUUUUGUUUUUGUUUCUCUUUAUCUUUCACAGGUCUUGCCUCCAAUAAAUCUCUUGCACUUCCAACUCCAUCUUGGCAUCUACUUUCUGGAAGCCCCAACUGACCCAUUGUGCAAAAACACCUUUUGAGAGGUUACCCACUUAUUUCUAACGUAAGAGCUUUCCUACUUGCUUUUGUCUUUUUUUUUUUCUGGGUUGAAUUGUCUAUAUCUGAGCUUCUGAUUUCUCCUAUCUAGGCUCACCUUAAUCCCAGCAAUAAAGGAGGUGAUGUGGGAACCCUUAGAAGUAACUGAUGGAAAGCAAAUAAAGUAGGGAAGAUAAUGAGUAGCUGGCAAUUGGCUCAUAAAUAUCCCUGGCACAGCCUGAGACAGUCCUUGGCUGCCUUUUCUGGAGCUGAAUCUUCCAUUGUGAUGAGAAAGAAGUUGCCAGCAGACACAGCCACCUGCAUCCCACACAACAGCUUUAAAGGAGAAAACCCCGUGGAGAAAGAACUGAGACUGAGAGGAGUUCCAAACUAA